AGCGAACGCUGGCGGCAGGCCUAAUACAUGCAAGUCGAACGCACCUUCGGGUGGGAGCGGCGCACGGGUGAGUAACACGUGGGAACCUACCUUGAAGUACGGAAUAACUGAGGGAAACUUCAGCUAACACCGUAUACGCCCUACGGGGGAAAGAUUUAUCGCUUCAAGACGGGCCCGCGUUGGAUUAGCUAGUUGGUGAGGUAAUGGCUCACCAAGGCUACGAUCCAUAGCUGAUUUGAGAGAAUGAUCAGCCACACUGGGACUGAGACACGGCCCAGACUCCUACGGGAGGCAGCAGUGGGGAAUAUUGGACAAUGGGCGCAAGCCUGAUCCAGCCAUGCCGCGUGAGUGAUGAAGGCCUUCGGGUUGUAAAGCUCUUUCAGAUGGGACGAUGAUGACGGUACCAUCAGAAGAAGCACCGGCUAACUACGUGCCAGCCGCCGCGGUAAGAC
rnacentral:rRNA from 1 species